GAUGCCUGCCCGGUGACCCGACGUUCAACGGCCGCGGUAUCCUAACCGUGCAAAGGUAGCGCAAUCAAUUGUCCCAUAAAUCGAGACUAGUAUGAAUGGCUAAACGAGGUCUUAACUGUCUCUUGCAGGCAAUCGGUGAAAUUGAUCUCCCUGUGCAAAAGCAGGGAUAAACCCAUAAGACGAGAAGACCCUGUGGAACUUCAAAAUCAGCAGCCACCCCAAUAUACAUACACACCCACCGGGUACACUUAGACUAUAAGCCACUGGCCUGCAUUUUUUCGGUUGGGGCGACCUUGGAGAAAAACAAAUCCUCCAAAAAUUGGACCAUAAAUCCAGACUAAGAGCAACCCCUCAAAGUGCGAAUAGCAACCAGACCCAAUAUAAUUGAUCAAUGGACCAAGCUACCCCAGGGAUAACAGCGCAAUCCCCUCCAAGAGCCCAUAUCGACGAGGGGGUUUACGACCUCGAUGUUGGAUCAGGACAUCCCGUAGGUGCAGCCGCUAUUAAA
rnacentral:rRNA from 1 species